GUAGGGAAUAUUGCGCAAUGGACGAAAGUCUGACGCAGCGACGCCGCGUGAGUGAUGAAGGCCUUAGGGUCGUAAAGCUCUGUUGAAUGGGAAGAAAAAAAUGACGGUACCAUUCGAGGAAGGACCGGCUAACUUCGUGCCAGCAGCCGCGGUAAUACGAGGGGUCCUAGCGUUGUUCGGAAUCAUUGGGCGUAAAGGGUGUGUAGGUGGCUAUGUAAGUCAGGUGUGAAAGCUCCGGGCUCAACCCGGGAAGUGCACUUGAUACUGCGUGGCUUGAGUACCGAAGAGGGUAGUGGAAUUCCAGGUGUAGUGGUGAAAUACGUAGAUAUCUGGAGGAACACCGGUGGCGAAGGCGGCUACCUGGUCGAGUACUGACACUGAGACACGAAAGCAUGGGGAUCAAACAGGAUUAGAUACCCUGGUAGUCC
rnacentral:rRNA from 1 species